rnacentral:tRNA from 1 species
GCCCCUGUAGCUCAAUGGAUAGAGCACCGGACUUCUAAUCCGUUGGUUGUGAGUUCGAGUCUCACCAGGGGCG